GUAGCAGCAGGCGCGACAGCAGCGGUGGAGGAGAAGAAAAAGAGGGAUGAGGUCAGAUCAGGAUCUCUUAGUUCACUGCCAGCAUGCUUCUUGGAUCUGAUGGCUGUCUAAUCUGGUCUGGCAUCUUCCAAGAGGUUACAGCGAGCCUGGAGCCUAUCCUGGCAAAUUUGGGGCACGAGGGAGGCAAGGGACACCCAGAACGUUGUGCCAACCCAUCGCAGGGCACAAUCGCGCACACAUUCGCACAUUAUGGACAAUUUAAAGAUGCCAAAUCAGCCUACAGCGCAUGUCUUUGGACUGGUGGAGGAAACCGGAGUACCCAGAUGAAACCCUCGCAGCAUGGGGAGAACACGCAAACCUCGCACACAAGGCGGACGUGGGGAUCGAACCCCCAACCCUGGCGGUGUGAGGCAAACACGAACGAGCAUCUGCUGCUGCAUGAACCACGGACCACGGUGUCUCGGAGGUGCGAGCACGUUUUUAAACAUCCACGUAUACAAUCUACUGCUUCUGACAUUUCAGUCUGAACGAACGGUAGAACGUGCGACGCCGCAGUGUACCUUCUUCCGGUGGUGGAUAAGUUCAGCAGAGAUCUAAAGCUUCGAGGAUGAGCUGAUUUCGUUUUAGUUUUCUAUAUAUUCGAAAGGCGACACUUUGUCCUUUGGACCCGAGCCGAGAACAGAACCUUUUCAUCCUUCCAUCUGAUCUCUUUCUCUCUGUCGCUGUUUCAUCCCUAAAGCCCAGGGCUCAGAUAGACGACUAUUUAGAAGCUUAGAGAAAGAUUUAGACUAAUUUAGCCUAAGGAUACAUUAACAACAGACAGAGUAAACAACACACACACACACACACACACACACAUUACCUACAUGCAGCAUGAUACAAUAAGCAGAAUCAUUAUCAUAUUUCUGUGUUUAGAUUCUCUUGACCUCUUUUUCCUUAUCGGCUAUAAAAGUGGUUCCAGGUCUAAUUCUGUGCAAGCAUGCAGGGGCAGGAAGGGAAUCGGGUUGCAAUAAAAGUACAUUCCCACUCAGACACAUACACCAGCUACAAUAACGAGCAGGUGUAUAACAAACAAACAUAUAGCAUAUACAGUACAGUGCUGUGCAGCAGUAUUGGGCGCAUGCAAAGAAAUGCUGUAGAGCAAAGAUGCCUUCAAAAAUAAUUACAUUAAAUGUUUCUACAUUACAGAAAAAAAAUACUAUGAAGAGUAGUAAACAGUAAUAAAUGAAACAAAGUCAAGAUCUGGUGUGAUGACCCUUUGCUUUAAAAAUUUUUUGUCUCAUGAGCUUUUUAAAAAGUUUCACUGAGCAUCGAGCACAUCCAGCCACAGUUCUUCUGGAGAGUUGGUCAAACCCAGCAACCUUCAAUUU